rnacentral:misc_RNA from 1 species
AACAUCGCGCACCUGCGGGAACCUGCGGAGGGAUCAUUACUGAGUCACGUGCUCAAACAACCCUUCUGUGGACCUGAAAUAAAACCGUUGCCUCGGCGGGCGGUCCCCCAAGCAAACCCCACGUGGUGGGUUAGGGGACCAGACAGUCCGGCACGCUUAAGGCGUCCGGCGCCAGCCGCUGGCCCCAAACAAUUAAACUCUAGUAACCUUUACCUUCUGAGUUUCAAUAUUUAAAAAUAA